rnacentral:rRNA from 1 species
UACGUAGGGGGCGAGCGUUGUCCGGAUUUACUGGGCGUAAAGGGUGAGUAGGCGGUUGUAUGUGUCAGAUGUAAAAGGCUAAGGCUUAACCAUAGUUAGCAUUUGAAACUGUACAACUUGAGUGCAGGAGAGGUAAGUGGAAUUCCUAGUGUAGCGGUGAAAUGCGUAGAUAUUAGGAGGAACACCAGUGGCGAAGGCGACUUACUGGACUGUAACUGACGUUGAGGCUCGAAAGCGUGGGGAGCAAACA